rnacentral:sRNA from 15 species
CAUCCCAAGCCUGGCUCGGUAAGAGCAAACGCUGAAGCGCAAGCAACGCGACCAUGCGUCAGCCAACUCUCGU